rnacentral:pre_miRNA from 1 species
GAGUUACCCUUAUGGGGCAAGACCUAUUUCAGUGGAGCUUUGGUAUCCCCUGAGUCUGUCCCCUGAGUGUAUCCCU